rnacentral:rRNA from 1 species
UACGAAGGGGACUAGCGUUGUUCGGAUUUACUGGGCGUAAAGCGCGCGUAGGCGGAUCGCUAAGUCAGGGGUGAAAUCCCAGGGCUCAACCCUGGAACUGCCUUUGAUACUGACGAUCUGGAGAUCGGGAGAGGUUGGUGGAAUUCCGAGUGUAGAGGUGAAAUUCGUAGAUAUUCGGAGGAACACCAGAAGCGAAGGCGGCCAACUGGCCCGAAUACUGACGCUGAGGCGCGAAAGCGUGGGGAGCAAACAGG